ACAACCAGCAGUGAAGGGACAUCGCCAUGGGUUAAUAAUGACCGCAGCUUCAGAAAACAACAUGGUUUCCCGGUAUCUGGAGUUCCAGUCCUCCCGCCCGAACCAGUGUUUAUUCAAAUGGAGGAUAGUGAUCAGUCAGAGUAUGGAUCGCGGAAAAGGGAUGAUACAGACUGACGGAAUUUAGACGACGAACUUAUAACAGAGAAGCCUAAUGGACCUAUUCCCUAAUGAAUAAAAUUUUGAUCUAGACAAGUCUAGACAAACAUUUUAUCACAGCUUGAAAGGGCAUCACAAAAUUAGUAAUAUUCCGAAG